GACGGAGGAUGCAAGUGUUAUCCGGAAUCACUGGGCGUAAAGCGUCUGUAGGUGGUUCGAAAAGUCCACUGUUAAAAAUUGAGGCUUAACUUCAAAGAUGCCGUGGAAACUUUCAAACUAGAGUAUGGUAGGGGUAGAGGGAAUUUCCAGUGGAGCGGUGAAAUGCGUAGAUAUUGGAAGGAACACCGGUGGCGAAAGCGGCGCGCUGGAUCCCUACUGACGCUGAGGCACGAAAGCCAGGGGAGCAAACGGG
rnacentral:rRNA from 1 species